rnacentral:rRNA from 1 species
AUUGAACGCUGGCGGCAUGCCUUACACAUGCAAGUCGAACGGUAACAGGUCUUCGGAUGCUGACGAGUGGCGAACGGGUGAGUAAUACAUCGGAACGUGCCCGAGAGUGGGGGAUAACGAGGCGAAAGCUUUGCUAAUACCGCAUACGAUCUCAGGAUUAAAGCAGGGGACCGCAAGGCCUUGCGCUCACGGAGCGGCCGAUGGCAGAUUAGGUAGUUGGUGGGAUAAAAGCUUACCAAGCCGACGAUCUGUAGCUGGUCUGAGAGGACGACCAGCCACACUGGGACUGAGACACGGCCCAGACUCCUACGGGAGGCAGCAGUGGGGAAUUUUGGACAAUGGGCGCAAGCCUGAUCCAGCCAUGCCGCGUGCAGGAUGAAGGCCUUCGGGUUGCAAACUGCUUUUGUACGGAACGAAAAGACUCUGGUUAAUACCUGGGGUCCAUGACGGUACCGUAAGAAUAAGCACCGGCUAACUCUGUGCCAGCAGCCGCCGUAAUAC